rnacentral:misc_RNA from 1 species
CCAAAAUCCUUUCUCUUGGCAGCUGGCAUAUUUCGAGCAAGCUCAACUUUCUCAAUCUCACCAAAUUCCUUGGUCCUUUCCUUCACACGAUCCUCAUCCCACGCAGCAGGCAAGCCAUCAAUAAAAACUGUUUUGACCUGGGCCAUGAUUUCAUCAUCUGGUUCUAUGAAGGAAUCAGCAAAAGCAACCUUUGCACUCCGAUCAACUCCAAACACAACAUCCCUCCUCUGCAGGCGCCUGAAUGCAUCCAUUGCCUCAGAACGAGAUGAAAACUCCAGGAAAGAAAAUCCACGAUUCAUUCCCUCGUUGUUGG